GACGAACGCUGGCGGCGUGCUUAACACAUGCAAGUCGAACGGAAAGGCCCUGCUUUUGUGGGGUGCUCGAGUGGCGAACGGGUGAGUAACACGUGAGUAACCUGCCCUUGACUUUGGGAUAACUUCAGGAAACUGGGGCUAAUACCGGAUAGGAGCUCCUGCUGCAUGGUGGGGGUUGGAAAGUUUCGGCGGUUGGGGAUGGACUCGCGGCUUAUCAGCUUGUUGGUGGGGUAGUGGCUUACCAAGACUUUGACGGGUAGCCGGCCUGAGAGGGUGACCGGCCACAUUGGGACUGAGAUACGGCCCAGACUCCUACGGGAGGCAGCAGUGGGGAAUAUUGCACAAUGGGCGGAAGCCUGAUGCAGCAACGCCGCGUGCGGGAUGACGGCCUUCGGGUUGUAAACCGCUUUCGCCUGUGACGAAGCGUGAGUGACGGUAAUGGGUAAAGAAGCACCGGCUAACUACGUGCCAGCAGCCGCGGUGAUACGUAGGGUGCGAGCGUUGUCCGGAUUUAUUGGGCGUAAAGGGCUCGUAGGUGGUUGAUCGCGUCGGAAGUGUAAUCUUGGGGCUUAACCCUGAGCGUGCUUUCGAUACGGGUUGACUUGAGGAAGGUAGGGGAGAAUGGAAUUCCUGGUGGAGCGGUGGAAUGCGCAGAUAUCAGGAGGAACACCAGUGGCGAAGGCGGUUCUCUGGGCCUUUCCUGACGCUGAGGAGCGAAAGCGUGGGGAGCGAACAGGCUUAGAUACCCUGGUAGUCCACGCUGUAAACGGUGGGUACUAGGUGUGGGGUCCAUUCCACGGGUUCCGUGCCGUAGCUAACGCUUUAAGUACCCCGCCUGGGGAGUACGGCCGCAAGGCUAAAACUCAAAGGAAUUGACGGGGCCCCGCACAAGCGGCGGAGCAUGCGGAUUAAUUCGAUGCAACGCGUAGAACCUUACCUGGGUUUGACAUGGAUCGGGAGCGCUCAGAGAUGGGUGUGCCUCUUUUGGGGUCGGUUCACAGGUGGUGCAUGGCUGUCGUCAGCUCGUGUCGUGAGAUGUUGGGUUAAGUCCCGCAACGAGCGCAACCCUUGUUCACUGUUGCCAGCACGUUAUGGUGGGGACUCAGUGGAGACCGCCGGGGUCAACUCGGAGGAAGGUGGGGAUGACGUCAAGUCAUCGUGCCCCUUAUGUCCAGGGCUUCACGCAUGCUACAAUGGCUGGUACAGAGAGUGGCGAGCCUGUGAGGGUGAGCGAAUCUCGGAAAGCCGGUCUCAGUUCGGAUUGGGGUCCGCAACUCGACCUCAUGAAGUCGGAGUCGCUAGUAAUCGCAGAUCAGCAACGCUGCGGUGAAUACGUUCCCGGG
rnacentral:rRNA from 1 species